rnacentral:rRNA from 1 species
GACAGAGGGUGCAAACGUUGUUCGGAAUUACUGGGCAUAAAGCGCACGUAGGUGGUCCGCUAAGUCGCGUGUGAAAUCCCCCGGCUCAACCGGGGAAAUGCGCGUGAUACUGGCGGGCUUGAGAUCGGGAGGGGUGAAUGGAACUCCAGGUGGAGCGGUGAAAUGCGUAGAUAUCGGGAGGAACACCAGCGGCGAAGGCGACUACCUGGCCUGUUUCUUGACGCUGAGGCGCGAAAGCUAGGGGAGCAAACGGG